AAUCAACGCUGGCGGCGUGCCUCAGACAUGCAAGUCGAACGAUUAAAGCUCUCUUCGGAGAGUGCAUAAAGUGGCGCACGGGUGAGUAACACGUAAGUAAUCUACCUUUGAGUGGGGAAUAACAGUCGGAAACGGCUGCUAAUACCGCAUAAUGCAGUGGCACCGCAAGGUGACAGUUGUUAAAGGAGCAAUCCGCUUAAAGAGGAGCUUGCGGCAGAUUAGCUAGUUGGUAAGGUAAUGGCUUACCAAGGCUACGAUCUGUAACCGGUCUUAGAGGACGGUCGGUCACACUGACACUGAAUAACGGGUCAGACUCCUACGGGAGGCAGCAGUCGGGAAUUUUGGGCAAUGGGCGAAAGCCUGACCCAGCAACGCCGCGUGAAGGAUGAAGUAUUUCGGUAUGUAAACUUCGAAAGAAUAGGAAGAAUUAAUGACGGUACUAUUUAUAAGGUCCGGCUAACUACGUG
rnacentral:rRNA from 1 species